UACGGAGGGGGCUAGCGUUGUUCGGAAUUACUGGGCGUAAAGCGUACGUAGGCGGCCCUGUAAGUUAGAGGUGAAAGCCCGGAGCUCAACUUCGGAAUUGCCUUUAAGACUGCAGAGCUAGAAUCGUGGAGAGGUUAGUGGAAUUCCGAGUGUAGAGGUGAAAUUCGUAGAUAUUCGGAAGAACACCAGUGGCGAAGGCGACUAACUGGACACGUAUUGACGCUGAGGUACGAAAGCGUGGGGAGCAAACAGG
rnacentral:rRNA from 1 species